CCUACGGGCGGCAGUGGGGAAUAUUGGACAAUGGGCGAAAGCCUGAUCCAGCCAUGCCGCGUGUGUGAAGAAGGCCUUCGGGUUGUAAAGCACUUUCAGUGGGGAAGAAAGCCUUGGGGCUAAUACCCUCGAGGAAGGACAUCACCCACAGAAGAAGCACCGGCUAACUCCGUGCCAGCAGCCGCGGUAAUACGGAGGGUGCGAGCGUUAAUCGGAAUUACUGGGCGUAAAGCGCGCGUAGGCGGUCUGAUAAGCCGGUUGUGAAAGCCCCGGGCUCAACCUGGGAACGGCAUCCGGAACUGUCAGGCUAGAGUGCAGGAGAGGAAGGUAGAAUUCCCGGUGUAGCGGUGAAAUGCGUAGAGAUCGGGAGGAAUACCAGUGGCGAAGGCGGCCUUCUGGACUGACACUGACGCUGAGGUGCGAAAGCGUGGGUAGCAAACAGGAUUAGAUACCCCUGUAGUC
rnacentral:rRNA from 1 species